CAAUUGUGUUUAUGUUUGAUCUCCUUUGUCCGUCUUCCAUAUCCCUUAUGGCCACUAAAAACCAAUUUUACAUCUUUGUUCUUUUCCAUAUAAUUUUAUAUGACUUAUUCCAGUCUGUAUCCCAUCUCCCUUUAUUUCCAGUCAUUUCCUUUAUUUUCUUAAGUUGUUGCUUGUAAUGUAAGUUUUGUGUUUGCUAUUUUUGUAUCUGCCAUUUAAAAAUUUUUCUUUUUUCCUGACUGUUGCAGUUGUCUUUCCAUCUCCUUCUGUUGUCUUAUAGUCUCUUUUUUGAACUCAAACCUCACUUUAAAGCCACUUUUUCCCUAGACAUCAAGACUAUAACUUCCUUGGAAGUAUAGAACCUAUCUGUCUCAACUUUUCUCUGGGGAAAAUCUUAUGUUAUCCAUGUGACUCUUGCUUUAUGCUCCAUUCCCCCAUCCCAUGACUUCCUCCCUCCCUUUUGAUUUUUCCCCCUAGUUUUGGUGCAUAGAUAUUAUGCUGGUGCUUUGAAUACAGCUGGCUGUUUGUGAGUAACACGGGUGGGAGAAACGAGCUAGGAGACUUUACAUCCAUUUGUUGUCUUCAACAUUCUGUCACCAAAUCUCUUAUUUCCUCUACCCACAUCUCCUUUCAGAUUUUCGAAUUUGAAUAGUUGAUGAGACAAAUAAAAGAGCCUCUUAAAUAACUGGCUUACUGUGUAAUAAUCCAACAAUUGCUGCCCCUCCCCCCUCCUUCUUUCAUACCACUUCAUCUCUGGCAGCCUUCCUUGGCAAGGAGGCAUAAAAAUAUGCCUUCUCCCUCAGCUAUGUCUCCCAUCAUGGUUCUGCAAGGGACAUCCUCAGUUUUUUUUCCGAGGUACUUCAUGAUCCAGGAUCUAGUCUCUGUCAUCAAAGAACUAGAACAGGCCUUUCAGGACUGCCACAUUUACUCCUAGGGAAAUCUAUACCCUGCUCGGCGCCUGAGGAAAUAUUUGUCAGCUCUCAGCCUUCCCCCUCAUUCUGGUCCAGAUUUUAUGGUCUUUGGCAGGUGUGUUUCUUAAUUUAUAGUUUGGGAUUGUGGCCAUUUCAUUGUUCAUUGAAGACACAGUGUUCCUUCUCUUUCAUUCUUUUAGUGGGUUUUUUGUUGGGUUUCAAAGGAGGAAAAUGGAAUUUUUAAAAAUGCCUUUAGUGACAUCUUUUAACAGAAAGCCCUAAUUAUUAUUAUUUUUCAGUAUAGACAAAAGCUUUUUGUAAGCUUUUGAAUAAAUAUUUUUAAAUUACCAUUACCAUAUUAUCACUUUUUUAACAAGUCAAAACAUCAUCUAGGAGUUUCUCACAUAAUAAAAAUGAAUGUCAGCUUUUUAUUAAACUACUAUGUGAGUUACUUUUGUUCAUAUAAAAGUGGUUAAAUAACUGCCAAUGGCUACUCAGAAGACAUUUUUAAUGAUACAUAUUUGACUUUUUCUCCCCAUCCUGAAUGGAAGGAUGGUUUGUAAACCCUUUUUUCUGGAGCAAAGUCUUCUGUGACUGUGUGUCUGCUAAGUUAAAGUAAGCAUGCCAUCAGAGAAUGUCCACAACUCACAGAGAGAGGAGAUGUCAUAAUCAGUGCCAUUAAUUAUCAUUCACAAAGCAGCAACUUUAUGCCAAAGCUUGUCAUGGUUUCCUCUAUAGACAUCUCGUGGAUUCCUCAGGAAUUGCUCAUGGGAACAAUAUAGAUUGAGUUCUUGCAUCUUCAAAACUAUUUGCCUGUGGCCUUUAAACUUGAAAGUCAGUUUGGCAGGAUAUAAAAUCUUUGGCUCACACUUUCUUUCCUUCAGUAUCUUAAAUAUGUGGCUCCACUGUUUUCUAGUAUGAAGUGGUAUUGUUGAGAAGUCUAGCGUCAGUUUGAUUUUCUUUCCCUAAUAAAUGACUUGAUUCUUUUGCAUAGAUGCACAAAUAUAUUUUUAUCUUUUAGUAGAAUAUGUCCUUUUUUUGAGAUGGAUUCUUGCUCUGUUGGCACAAUCUCAGCUCAUUGCAAACUCUGCCUCCUGGGUUCAAGUGAUUCUCCUGCCUCAGCCUCCCGAGUAACUGAGAUUACAGGAGUGUGCCAUUAAGCCCAGCUAAUUUUUGUAUAUUUUUUAGUACAGACAGGGUUUCACCAUGUUGGCCAGGCUGGUCUUGAACUCCUGGCCUCAAGUGAUCCACCCACCUUGGCCUCCCAAAGUGUUGGGAUUACAGGCUUGAGCCACUGCACCCAGCUGAGUAUGUCUUGAUAUUGACCAUUCUGGGUCAGUUUUCCCAGGUAUAUAGAGUGCCCUUUCAAUAUGGCAAUUUGAGCCAUUAAGUUUUGUUCUGUUAUGAUUUUUGGUGGUUUUCUUUUCCUGGGACUCUAUAUUCAUUGAAUUUUAUUUCCUUGUCUUUUAUAUAUAUUAUCUGCACUUGAAUCUUUUUUUAUUUCUCUUUGAUUCUUGUCAUUUCCCUCCUUUUAUUUUGCUUAUUACACUUUCUCUGCCCAGUCAUUCUUGAGUUUCUUCUAGUGUUUAGUCUACAUUCUGAGAAAUUUACCCUUAGUUUUAAAAAUUCUUUUCUAAACCGUCAGCUAUCAUUUUACAUUCUCCUGUUAUUUAUUCAUCUCAUUUCUUGAAUUUUCUAUUUCUGAUUUGUUUCUACAGUUUUCUUUUUGUUUCUCUUAGCUCAUUUUGUAACACUGAGUAUAUUUUCAUCUGUUUAAAGGCCAAAUUUUCAUUAUGUUGGUAUGCUAUUGAUACUUUUAUCUUACUGUAUCUUUUUGGAGGUUUGCAGAUGUUCUUAUUAAAUGAAUUAGAUUGUUUUCUGUACUUUUAGGGAAAGAGAGUGUAAGCAGGAGGGAAUAUUUCAGGAUAGUUAUCUUCACUGUUAAGAGCUUCCUCCUCUGGUGUUAAAAGGAAGUAUUAUAUGCAACAAUUUGGCCACAAUUCUGGGAUUUGUAUCUCUGGACUCCCCAACUCCCAAGGAUCUGAACAUCUCUUUCCUUUACCUCUUGUGUUCCUUCUCCACUUGGAUUAUAAUUCUGACAACUUUUCUUGGGCACUUCUUAAGCCCUUUAGUGGUUCUGCACAAUCUUUCUUGCAUCCAAUCACACUCUGGAACCAAUCACACUCUGGAGUCCUUCCUCAAUUUGGCUGAUUGGUCUCAGACCUAUUUGCUGAGGGUUCUACUCAGAGUAGGAUCAUUUUCUUGUCAUGCUAUUUAUUCGUGACAUCUGUGUUCCACAACUCUUGGCCCUGUCUCUCCUCUUUUUUAUCGCUGCCCAGCUGCUAAUUCUGCCAUUUCUGAACAGUGUCUGCACUGUGUGGUUUGGCCUCACCUACUUAUAUUACUUUUGUUAAAAUUACCUCUGUUGUUUUUCCUUUCCUUCUGCAUUCCUAAUUGCUCUGCUUUUUGUUUUUUAAUGAGGGAUUUGGGAAUAGUAACUAUGCUACUACCAUGAUUUUGCUUCACUAGAAGCCUUCAAAUAAUUUUUAAAGGGACUACUGUCAAUAAUAUACUUUUAGAUAUCAUGGUAGUCAUCUUCCAUGGUUUCAACUACCACAUAUGUGUUGAUGAUUCACGCAAUUAUAACUUUAAUGUAGAUCUUUUCUGAGCUGUAAUUCUUUACUGAUACCUUUAUAGACUCUCAAACUACAUGUAUGUCUAAAAUAAGCCAUUUUUCUCUCCCUUUCAAGUCACUUUCUGAAUAUGCUUCUUCUUUCUAAUUAAUUUUAAAAUUAAUGUCGUCUCAUUCAUUAGCUUCCCAGGACAAAAAUACAAAACACUCCUCUUUUUUGCUCAUGUCCUGUCAAUUCAAUUGCCAAAUAUGUCAGUUAAAUCUCCUACAUAUUGUUCAAAACCACUUACUACUCUCUAUCCCAACUGCUUCUUCAUUCUCUCUUGUUGAUUUUAUUCCAAUCACCAUCUAACAAGGUUUUUCAAGCUUCAAUUCCUUCUUCCUCUAAUACCUUAUCCAUAGUGCAGCCAGAAUUAUAUGUCUAAAACCUUACAUUUUACUUCCCCAUUCAAACACCUUCCAACAUGCUCUCAAUGACUGUAGGGAUAAAUCCAAUACCCUAAAGCCUUCACAAUCCAGCUGUAAUCUCUCCUUUCCAUCUCACCUACCAGCACUUACUCAGUGCAUCCUGUUCUCAAGCCACACAAGACUGAUAAACUCUCCCAAAUCUGUGCCUUUAUAUACACGCUUGUCACUCUAGAACACCCCUCUGUCUCAUUUCCACACAGUUUGCACUCAUCUCUUAAGACGCAACUCCAAAGCUGCAUCUUAUGCAACACUUUCCAGUGACCCAGGCAGACUUAAACGUUUCCCUUCAAUUUUCACGUAGCUCUGUAGACAGAACACCUUUAUUGGGCAUUUUUUACAUGGUUGUAAAUGUCAUUUCUUCUGCCUGCCUUUUUAAACAGUGAGCUCACUGAAAACUAUUCUUAGUUGUCUCUGGUUCCUGGUGCCUAGGGUAAUCAACAUAGCAAUGCUCAGUAAAUGUUGAUUAAAUGAGUGAGUUUGUAAGGCUAUGGAAAUAGGCCUAUUUAGAGUAGAAGAAGCUUUUAUAAAUCUUUAUACUUCAGCCAAAAAGUGUUUACCAAGCACCAAGUGGGAUACAAACAUGUGCAGAAAUGGGUCUUCCCCUCUGGCAGUUACUUUGGGUCAGGAAAAUAAAGUGUAUUCAGGUUAUGUGUGUGUGUGUGUGUGUGUGCCUGUGCGGUGUGUGUGUGUAACUUAAAACACAUGGAACAGAUAGAACUACAUGAAUUUGAAUCCACUGGGCAUAUUUUGGAUGGGUCAUAAUAUAAGAGUAAACUGUCAGAUUCAGUCUAAAAAGACACUAUUAUUCCAGUAGAAGAGUGCUUAGCAAAAAGGGCAGAGCAAGAUGGCAGAAUAGAAGGCUACAUUGAUCAUCCCCCUACUCCCACUACCACAGGAAAACUAAAUUUAAACAAUUAUCUGUGAACAAAAAAGCACCUUCAUAAGAACUAAAAAUUGGGUGAGCCAUCACAGUACUUGUUUUUAAUUUCUUAUCACUGAAAGAGGCACUGAAGAAGGCAGAAAAGAUGGCCUUAAAUCACCAACACCACCCCUUCCCCAUUCCCUGGCAGUGGCUGCAUGGCACGGAGAGAGAAUCUGUGCACUUCAGGGAGGGAGAGCACAGCAACUGGGGGACUUUGCAUUGAACUCAGUGCUGCCCUGUCACAGUGGGAAGUGAAACCAUGUUGAACUCAGCUGAUACCCACAGAGACAGCAUUUGGACCAGCCCUAGCCAGAGGGGAAGUGCCUAUUCCAGUGGCCGGAGCCUGAGUUUCAGCAGUCUCACCACCAUGGGCUAAGGUGCUGUGGGGUCCUAAGUGAACUUGAAAGGCAGUCUAGGAAGGACUCAGAUUCUUAGGCAAGUCUGAUGGUGUUCUGGGGUUAGAGCCAGUGGACUGGGGCAGUGUGUGACCUAGUGACACACCAGAUGGGGCAGCUGGGGAAGUACCUGCACUACCCCUCCCUCAACCCCAAGCAGCACAGCUUGUAGCAAUGAAAGCAACUCCUUCCUUCUGCUUGAGGAGAGGAGAGAGACCAGUCAAGAGGACUUUGUACUUUGUCUUGCAUCUUGGAUACAAGCUCAGCCACAGACAGUGCACUGGGCAGAGUCGUGAAGCCCCCAUGCCAGGUCCUAGCUCCUGGGUGACAUUUCUAGACACACCCUGGGCCAGAAGGGAACCCACUGCCUUGAAGAGAAAGACCAAGUCCUGGCAGCAUUAAUUAUCUGCUAACUAAAGAGCCCUUGGGCCCUGAAUAACCAAAAGUGAUAUCCAGGUAGUAUGCCAUGGGCCUUGGAUGAGACUUUGAGAUAUGCUGGCUUCGGGUAACAGCUCAGCACAGUGGAUAGAGUAUCUAGUGGGCUUCAGGGGUCCCUGAGUUCAGGCCUAGGCUUUCGGACAGCAUUUCUGCACCUUCCCUGGGCCAGAGGUGGGAGCCUACUACCCUGAAGGGUGAAUCCCAGGUUUGGCAGCAUUCACAAGCUGGCUGAAGAGCCCCUAGGCAUUAAGUGAUCAGCAAUGGUAGCCUGGCAGAACUCUCUACGGACUGCUGAUGAUGAUGGCCAUGGGGAGAGCUCCUCUGCCUGUGGAAAGGGGAGGGAAGAGGGGGAAGGAUUUUGUUGUAUGGUUUCAGUGGCAGCUUAGCCACAGGGUAAUAGAAUACCAGGUAGAUUUCUAAGGUUUUUGACUUAAAUCCCUGGCUCUCAGAAAGUAUCUCUGGACAUGCCCAGGGCCUGAAAGAACUUGCCUCCCUGAAGGGAAGAACAUAAGCCUGAAGGGAAGGACAUAAGCCUGGAUGGCUUCAACUCUUGCUGACUGUAGCCCUAGGGCCUUGAGUGAACAUAGGCAGUAACCAGAUAGUGGCUGCAGUGGGUCUUGGGUGAAACCCAGUGCUAUUCUGGCUUCAGGUCUGACCCAGGGCAGUUCCAGUGUUGGUGGCCAUAGGGGUGCUUGCAUCACCCCAAUCCCAGCUCCAGGUGGCUCAGCAGAGAGAGAGAGAGAGACAGAGACAGAGGCAGAGAGAUGCUGUUUGUUUGGGAGAAAGUAAAGGAAGAGAACAAGAGUCUCUUCCUGGUAAUCCAGAGAAUGCUUCUGGAUCUUAUCCAAGACCACCAAAGUGAUAUCUCUAUGAGUGUGCAUGAAGCACAGUGUUACUGGGCUUGGGGCCCAAGUCCCUUUGAAUACUUGGAAAGGCUUCCCAAGAAGGACAGGCAUAGACUGUAAAGCCCAGAUUGUGAAGACUACAAUAAAUACAUAAUUAUUCAAUGCCCAGACACCAAAGGACAUCUACAGGAAAACAUGACUUCACCAAAUGAACUACAUCAGGCACCAGGGACCAAUCCUGGAGUGACAGAGAUACAUGACAGAGAAUUCAAAAUAGCCAUUUUGAGGAAACUCAAACAAAUUCAAGACAAUAUAGAAAAGGAAUUCAGAAUUCUAUCAGAUAAAUUUAACAAAGAGAUUAAUUUUUAAAAUCAAGCAGAAAUUCUAGAUUUAAAAAAUACAAUUGACAUACUGAAGAAUGUAUCAGAGUCUCUUGGCAGCAGAACUGAUCAACCAGAAGAAAGAACUGGUGAGCCUGAAAACAGGGUAUUUUAAAAUACAGUUAGAGGAGACAAAAGAAAAAAGAAUAAAAAAUAAUGAAGCAUGCCUACAAGAUUUAGAAAAUAACCCUGAAGGGGCAAAUCUAAGAGUUAUUAGUCUUAAAGGGGAGGUAGAGAAAGCGAUAGGGGUAGAAAAAUUAUUCAAAGGGAUAUCAGAGAACUUCCCAAACCUAGAGAAAGAUAUUAACAUUCAAGUGCAAGAAGGUUAUAUAAUACCAAGCAUACUUAGUGCAAAGAGGACUACCUCAAGGAAUUUAAUAGUCAAACUCCCAAAGGUCAAGGGUAAAUACCAUAAAAGCAAAAAGAGAAAAGAAACAAAUAACACACAAUGGGGUUCUAAUAAGUCUGGAAACAGACUUUUCAGUGGAAACCUUAAAGGCCAGGAGAGAGUGGCAUGACAUAUUUAAAGUGCUGAAGGAACAAAACUUUUACCCUAGAAUAGUAUAUCCAGUGAAAAUAUCCUUCAAGCAUUAAGGAGAAAUAAAGGUCUUCCCAGACAAACAAAAGCUGAGGGAUUUUAUUAACACCAGACCUGUCCUAUAAGAAAUGCUAAAGGGAGCUCUUCAGUCUGAAAUAAAAGGAUAUUAAUAAGCAAGAAGAAAUCACCUGAAGGUACAAAACUCACUGGUAAUAGUAAGUACACAGAAAAUCAUGGAAUAUUAUAACACUGUGAUUGUGGUGUCAAAACUAAUCUUAAGUAGAAAGUCUAAAUGAUGAACCAAUCAAAAAAUAAUAAAUACAACAACUUUCAAGCCAGGAUAGCACAAUAAAACAUAAAGAGAAACAAAAAGUUAAUAAGUGAGAGGACAAAGUAAAAGUAUAGAGUUUUCAUUAGUUUUCUUUUUGUGUGUUUGUUUACACAAUGUGUUAAGUUGUCAUCAGUUUAAUAUAAUGGGAUAUAAGAUAGUAUGUGCAAGCCUCAUGGUAAUCUCAAAUCAAAAACCAUACGAUGGAUACAGAAAAAAUAAAAAGCAAGAAAUUAAGUCAUACCACCAGAAAAAAAUCACCUGUACUAAAAAGAAAACAGGAAGGAAGGAAAGAAGAAAGAGAAGACUGCAAAACAAACGGAAAACAAAUAACAAAAUGGCAGGAGAAAGUCCCUACUUAUCAACAGUAACACUUAAUGUAAAUGGACUAAACUCCCCAAUCAAAAGGCACAGAAAGGCUGAAUGGAUGAAAAAACAAGAGCCAUUGAUCUGUUGCCUACCUACAAGAAGCACAUUUCACCUGUAAAGAUACACAUAGACUGAAAAUAAAGGGAUGGAGUUAGAUGUUCCAUGCCAACGGAACCCCAAAAACAGCAGUAGUGCUAUGCUUAUAUCAGACAAAAUAGAUUUCAAGGCAAAAACUGUAAGAACAGGCAAAGAAUGUCAUUGUUUAAUUUAUAGAGGGGUCAGUUCAGCAAGGGGAUAUAACAAUGUUUUUUUCUUUUUUUUUUUUUUUUGAGGUGGAAUCUUACUCUGUCGCCCAGGCUGGAGUGCAGUGGCACGAUCUUGGCUCACUACAACCACCACCUUCCAGGUUCAAGUGAUUCUCUCGCCUCAACCUCCCAAGUAGCUGGGAUUACAGGUGCUUGCUACCACGCCUGGCGGGAUAUGACAAUUGUAAACAUAUAUGCACUAAACACUGGAGCACUCAGAUAUAUAAAACAAAUAUUAUCAAAGCCAUAUAGAGAUAUAGGCCUCAAUACAAUGAUAGCUUGAGUCUUCAACAUCCCACUUUAAACACUGGACAGAUCUUCCAGGCCGAAAACCAACAAAGAACCAUCCAAUUUAAUCUACACUAUAGGGCAAUAGAUACAGAACAUUCCAUUCAGUGGCUGCAGAAUACACAUUCUUCUCUUCAGCACAUGGAUUAUUCUCAAAAACAGACCAUAUGUUCAGCCCUACAGAAGUCUUAAAACACUCAAAAAACUGAAAUGACAUCAAGCACCUUUUCUGACCACAAUGGAAUGAAAUUAGAAAUCAAUAACAAGAGAAAUUUUGGAAAAUGUACAAAUACACGGAAUUUAAACAAUAUGCUCCUGAAUGACAAGUGGGUCAAUAAAGAAAUUAAGAAGGAAAUUGAAAAUUUUCUUAAAACAAAUGAUAAUGGAAGCACAACAUACCAAAACCUAUGAGAUACAGUGAAAGCAACACUAAGAGGGACAUUUAUAGCUAUAAAUGCCUACAUCAAAAAAGAAGAAAAACUUCAAGUAAACAACCUAACAAUACAUCUUAGCUAGAAAAUCAAGAGCAAAACAACCCAAAAUUAGUAGAAGAAAUACGAUACAAACGAUCAAUGAACCAAAAAGUUGGUUUUUUGAAAACAUAAAUAAAAUCGACAAAACUCUUGCCAGACUAAGAAAACAAGAGAGAACACCCCAAUAAAUUAAAUCAGAGAUGGAAAAGAAGACAUUAGAACUGAUACUGCAAAAUUCAAGGGAUCAUUAGUUGCUACUAUGGCAAUUACAUAUCAAUAAAUUAGAAAAUUUAGAAGAAAUGGCUAAAUUCCUAGACACAUACAACCUACCCAGAUUGAACCAUGAAAAAAUCCAAAACCUGAACAGACCAAUAACAAGCUAACAAGAUCAAAGCCAUAAUAAAAUGUCUCCCAGUAAAGAAAAGCCUGAGAUCCAAUGACUUCACUGAUGGUUUCUACCAACAUUUAAAGAACUAAGACCAAUCUUACUCGAACUGUUCUGAAAGAUAGUGGAGGAUAGAAUACUUCCAAACUCAUUCUAUCAGGCCAGUAUUAAUCUGAUACCAAAACCAGACAAAAACACAUCAAAAAGAGAAAAAGAAAACUACAGGGCCUGAUGAACACUGAUGCAAAAAUUCUCAACAAAAUAUCAGCAUAGUGAUUUCAACAACACAGUAAAAGAUCAUUCAUCAUGACCAAGUGGGAUUUAUCCCAGGGAUGCAAGGAUGGCUUAACACAUGCAAAUCAAUCAAUGUAAUACAUCAUAUCAACAGAAUGAAGAACAAAACCAUAUGAUCAUUUUAAUUAAUGCCAAACAAGCACGUGAUAAAAUUUAACAUCCCUUCAUGACAAAAAUCCUAAAAAAAAGGAGUAUAGAAGAAACAUACCUCAACACAAUGAAAGCCAUGUAUGACAGACCCACAGCUAGUAUCAUACUGAAUGGGGAAAAACUGAAGGCUUUUCCUGUAAUAUCUGGAAAAAGACAAGGAUGCUCACUUUCGCCACUGUUAUUCAACAUAGUCCUAGUAGUCCUAGUUAGAGGAAUCAGGUGAAAAAAAAAAAAAAGAAAAGAAAAGAAAUAAAGGGCAUCCAAAUUGGAAACGAAGAAGUCAAAUUAUCUCUGUUCCCAGAUGAUAUGAUCUUACAUUUGGAAAAACCUAAAGACUCCACCAAAAAACUAUUAGAACUGAUAAACAAAUUCAGUAAAGUUGCAGGAUACAAAAUUAACAUACAAAUAUCAGUAGCAUUUCUAUAAGCCAACAGCGAACAAUCAAAAAAAUCAAGAAAGUAGUCCCAUUUACAAUAGCUACAAAUAAAAUGAAAUACCAAGUAAUCAACUUAACCAAAGAAGUGAGAGAUCUCUAUAAUGAAAACUAUAAAACAUUGAUGAAAGAAAUUGAAGAGGACUAUAAAAAAUGGAAAGAUAUUCCAUGUUCAUGGGUUGGAAGAAUCAAUACUGUUGCAAUGUCCAUACUACCCAAAGCGAUCUACAGAUUCAAUGCAAUCCCUAUCAAAAUAUCAAUGACAUUUUUCACAGAAAUAAAAAAAUCCUAAAAUUUAUAAAGAACAACAAAAGACCCAGAAUAGCCCAAGCUAUCCUGACUAAAAAGAACAAAACUGGAGGAAUCACAUUAUCUGACUUCAAAUUAUACUACAGAGAUAAUAGUAACCAAAACAGCAUAGUACUGGUAUAAAAACAGACACAUAGACCAAUGGAACAGAGUAGAGAUCCCAGAGAUAAAUCCAUAGAUCUACAGUGAACUCAUUUUUGACAAUGGUGCCAAGAUCAUACAUUGGGGAAAGGACAAUCUCUUCAAUAAAUGAUGCUGGGAAAACUGGAUAUCCAUAUGCAGAAGAGUAAAACUAGACCCCUCUCUCUUAAUAUAUACAAAAAUCAAAUCAAAAUGGAUUAAAGCCUUAAGUUUAAGACCUCAACUAAGAAACUGCUACAAGAAAACGUUGGGGAAACUUUUCAGGACACUGCUCUGGGCAAAUAUUUCUUGAUUAAUACCCCACGAGCACAGGCAAAGUAAAAAUGGACAAAUGGGAUCACAUGAAGUUAAAAAGCUUCUACACGGCAAAUAAAACAAUCAACAAAGUAGACACAACCCACAGAAUUGGAGAAAAUAUCUGAAGAUUACCCAUCUGACAAAGGUUUAAGAACCAGAACAUAUAAGGGGCUCACACAACUCUAUAGGAAAAAAAAAUCUAAUAAUCCAGUUUAAAAAUGGGAAAAGAUCUGAAUAGACAUUUACCAAAGAAGACAAACAAAGGGCAAGCAGGCAUAUGACAAGGUGAUCAACAUCAAUGAUCACCAGAGAAAUGCGAAUCAGAACUACAAUGAGAUACCAUCUCACUCCAGUUAAAAUGGCUGUUAUCUAAAAGACAGGCAAUAACAAAUGUUGGCAGGGAUGUGGAGAAAAGGGAACCCUUGUACAUUGUUGGUGGGAAUGUUAAUUAAAACAACUACUAUGGAGAACAGUUUGGAGGUUCCUCAAAAAACUAAAAAUAGAGCUACCAUAUGAUCUAGAAAUCUCACUCCUAGGUAUAUACCAAAAAGAAAGGAAAAUCAGAUACUAAAGAGCUAUCUAUAAUCCCAUGUAUACCACAGCCGUAUUCACAAUAGCCAAGAUAUGGAAACAACCUAAGUGUCCGUCAGCAGACUAAUGGAUAAAGAAAAGGUGGUACAUAUACACAAUGGAGUACUAUUCAGCCAUAAAAAAGAAUGAGAUCCUAUCAUCUGCAACAACAUGGAUGGAACUGAAGGUCAUUAUGUUAAGUUAAAUAAGCCAGGCACAGAAAGACAAACAUCACAUGUUCUCACUUAUUUGUGGGAGCUAAAAAUUAAAAUAAUUGAACUCAUGGAGAUAGAGAGUAGAAGGAUGGUUAUCAAAGGCUGGGUAGGGUAGUUGGGCAGGGAUGUGGGGAUGGUUAAUGAGUACAAAAAAUAGUUAGAAAGAAUCAGUAAGACCUAGUAUUUGCUAGCACAACAGGGAGACUAUAUCCAAAAACAAUUCAAUUGCAUUUUUAAAAUAAUUAAAAUAAUAUAAUUUGGAUUGUUUAUUAUACAAAGGAUAAAUGCUUGAGGGGAUGGAUACCCCAUUCUCCAUUUUGUGAUUCUUACACAUUGCAUAACUGUUUCAAAGUAUCUCAUGUACCCCAUAAAAUAUAUAUUUACUAUAUACCCACAAAAAUUAAAAAUAAAAAAAUUCAAAAAGAAUUGUUAUCUGCCUAGUGAUUCAUAAUAAAAAACUCAUAAUUAAUAACACAUAAUAAAAAUGAGUAAAAGAAGAGUUUUAUAAUAAACCUUAAGAGCUGAACUGGUCUUUUAUUCACAGAAAGAAUAUCUGAACAUACAGUUAAUGCAUUUAGAUCAACAACCUUCGAUCAAGACCAAAUUAAAUCUGUAGGAUAAUGAUUCAUAGAAUGUAUCUUCACCCAGAGGUCUGAUAUUUCCUGGCCCCAAGAAACACCAGUUAUGAAGAUAAAGAUAAAAAAUGUCUUAAGGAAGCCCAACCAAGUUUCUUAGACUUUGUAUCAAAGAGCUCAGAGAUGGGAGCUUCUUGAGGGCACUUCCAUCCUAAGCACCAUCGAUAAGCUGAAAGUGUUUCAUUCAUAACUCUGUGUGUGUGUGUGUGUGUGUGUGUGUGUGUGUGUAAAUAAGCUUUUGUGCACUUGUGUGCUGGUAAAUGUUUCAAAACAUGUUCUUGGAGGAAAUAGCCAUGAUGGUUUUGCCAGUUUCUGUGGUGUAAAUACUCCCAUCAUGGCUGAUUUCCAGCUAUCAACCCUAUGUGACUGAGCACAAGUUGGGAUGAGAUCAUAAGUGGUUCUCACUGGCCAGUAAGAACUGACUUCAACACACUACUUCCUUCACGAGUUGUAAUUCAUAGUUCUAUGGAAAAUCGGGGAAUGCCAUAUUUUAAAAUCCAUGUAUCCUGGACAUAUCUUGGGUUGUUCUUUAUAACAUUUUUCAGUUAUAGAGAUAUUUUCCUUUUUACUUAGCAUAUUAGAUAUAUUAAUAGUUCAAGAGUUGAAGAGUUGGCAGAUACGAAUAACAAUAUAGGAGGUGAAGAACUCAGAGAUGAUCAUAAGUGUUGGAAGACAGUGGUACAUGGACAGAGACAGGAAGUGGGGAGAACUGGUUGGGAGAGAGUGAAGAGGCUGUCCCUUUGCUUUCCCACGAUGAGGAUAUAAACUAGAUGGAGAGCUGGAGACGUGGUUAGAAGGUUAGAGACUUUCUGGAGAUUGAAAAUCAUCCAUGGGAGUUAAAGAAUUCAGGACACAGAAUCAACCACAGUGGAAAAGUGUAGCAAUGGAAAAGGAUCAAAUAUUGGGCUUUUUGAGAUUUGGAAGAAGAGAAGCCAACAGAAAAGACAUAGUCAGAUAAGUAGAAAAAAUAAAAACACCAAGAAACAUGAUGAAGGAAAAAGGUGAAGAUAAACAAAAUAAUCAAAUGUUCCAUCAAAGUACAGAAAAUAAAGGAGGCUAUUUCAGCCAAGAGGUGGGACACAAAACAGGCUACAAGGGGUAUGUGGAUCACAGAAAUUCACCAUUUGGGAAGAUUGCCUGAUAUGAGUCAAUGCUCCUUUCUUAUAACUUCAAAAGCAGUGUAAGAACUGAAGGCUCCUUUCUGCCUAAGGCUUGGUCCAGAUCUAAGGAACCAAGGCAAACUCAUAAGCCAAUGAAUGGACAGAGCUUAAACAUAUCAUGAAUAGAGCUAGUGUCGGGGAAGAGGAAGAUUCUGGCUGCAAGCCAGAGGCCUGGCUCCGUGAAGAAUGGAAAUUCUGGCGUGGCUGCUCAGCCUUUCUGUGUCCAGGGUUAGUGGCCAGUUUCAACGUGGAAGGACCUUAUCCAGAACCACAAAAUGGAUGGCUGCCCCCAAGUGAGCCAUCCCAUGGCAGAAGGACUAGUUUGGCAGGAAGCUUUAAGAAGGGUGGCAAUUUGGUAUCAGAGUCUCUGCCAAAAAAAAGCAACUCUGAUGAGAAGAAAUUUUAACUAACAGGAGAAAGCUCCAUCCAGUAGAAAACUAAAAUUUCUGUGCAACAGGUUGUGUGCCUGACUGCGCUCAAGCCUCACCAAUGGCUUUUGGUGUCACAGGCUGAGGCUGCCUCUGUUUUCUUGUGCGUGUAUAUACGCUUGCCCUUCCUCCCAGAUAGGGGCUUCCUAGAUGUGAGGUCAUGACUGGAAGCCAGAGUGUCUUGUUUGAGUUUGGGCUGACCUCUUGGAGCACAGAAGAGCUUGCUCUUUGCCCUGAUGAAUGGUUGCCUAUGAAACUAAACAGCCUCCAGUCCAAACCAGCUCACAUGGGUAGCCUCCUCUUAAGUUUCCUUUUCUUCUUUGUCUCAACAAAAACCCCUCCAAUGAACGAUCUGCCUCUCCUGUGUUAGCAGACCUGAGCUCUUCUAAAGAUCACUAUUUCAACACCACUUUGGAUUUUCUCUGACUUUGCAAAGACUGUUGAGGAAUAGUAUUUACUUGCUUAGAGCUCUGAACAACUGGAGGACCUGUUGGCAAUCCCAUGGCCACUGGCCUCAAGGACAAUAUAAACCAGAUGGGAAGACCAUGUGGAUGCUCAGGAAAUAGCUACCAUUGCAAAACAGUAAAAAUUAGGGUCACUGUGAUUUAAAAGUCGGAAAUGCUGGGUGACUUUAGGAAGUGGAAAACUUCACAGAAGAGGAAAGCUCACAGUUGGACCAAGGAUUUGAAAGCCACAAGAGCAAAGACACACAAGUGGGCCCACAUAGAUGUGCAAUGGUGUUACUUUAGUGAUACGCAACUGGCAACUGUAAAUUCAGUUAUUCACUGAGAGAGCGGACACGGAGGAAAGUGGUGAUGUCACCACUAGCCUCCACUCUAAGACACCAGUGACAACCGUUUGUUCCACCAGGCAGGAUAUAACUGUGAAGGCCUGUUUGUUCUUAGAGGAAAGAAGCAAGGACAGAAGCAAAGUGGGGUAUUUUAGAGCUUGGCAGUGGUUCUAGGUGCUCCCUCGCUGCAUCCAGAAACAAGCUGUCUGGUUUCUCCUCCUCAAUAUCUGCCCCUUUGCUGUUCUUCCCUUUUCUUGCCUCCUCCCUUUAGGUUAGGGCAGCACUUGAUCAAAGAAGUCACUACCCAGGGCCAUUCCUACCUUGGACACAUGUAAGGGCUAACUCACCCAAACAAGAAUGAGAGGCAGGUAAGGAAACACUUCUCACACUGCAAGUGUAUCAUUACAACACCCAGGGAUCUUGUUGAAAUGCAGACUCUGAUUCCUUAGGUCUGGGUGGGACUUGAGAUUCCUCAUUUCUUAUAAGUUCCCUGCUGAUGUCAAUUUGACUAGUCCUUGGGCCACACUAAGUGUAGCAAGGAGAAUCACGCAUCACAAUGCCAAGAUUCUCCCCACAAAAUUGUGGCCCUUCCUUCUGUCCCUAACUUUAUGGAAACAGUAACUGGAACCUUCAUCUCUCCUGACAAUGGGGCAAGGGAGACAACGUCUGCUUCUGGGGCUAUCGUAGGAUGAUAUGAGAGGAGCAGGUCAUGACUAUGCCUGGCACUGAACCUAGGACUCAGAGCAGGUUGUGAAUGUCACUCACUGUCCUUCCUUAUUUCUUGAGCCUGCAGAUGUUAAGGAUGCAGCAAGACUGGAGCAAAGGGCUGGAAGAAGAAUAAGGACUGGAGUAAGAGAGCCAUGAGUGCAAGAAAGGCCC